rnacentral:rRNA from 1 species
GACGAACGCUGGCGGCGUGCUUAACACAUGCAAGUCGAACGGAAAGGCCUGCUUUCCCUUGUGGAUUGCGGGUACUCGAGUGGCGAACGGGUGAGUAACACGUGAGUGAUCUGCCCCCAACUUGGGUAUAAGCCUGGGAAACUGGGUCUAAUUCCCGAUAGGACUGCAGGGUGGUGCCUGUGGUGGAAAACGAUUUUCUAGUGGUUGGGGAUGAGCUCGCGGCCGAUCAGCUUGUUGGUGGGGUAAUGGCCUACCAAGGCGGCGACGGGUAGCCGGCCUGAGAGGGUGGACGGCCACAUUGGGACUGAGAUACGGCCCAGACUCCUACGGGAGGCAGCAGUGGGGAAUAUUGCACAAUGGGCGGAAGCCUGAUGCAGCGACGCCGCGUGGGGGAUGACGGCCUUCGGGUUGUAAACUCCUUUCGACCGCGAGGAAGCCACCUGGUUGGAAGGGUGGUGACGGUAGUGGUAGAAGAAGCACCGGCUAACUACGUG